AUUGCAAAAUUAUUAUUGAGCUCAAAAUUAUAAUAAAAAUAUUUCAUUUCAGACCCACUUUCAACUUGGCAACACACCACGCUGUCGGAAAUCGUUGUAGUCUUUGUUGCAUCAAGAUACAGCAAAGAGCAGACUUGUCAACUUAUUUGUCAAAUUUGAUGAAGUUUACUCUUAAAUUGUCAGUGGGAAGUAAGAAAUUAAGUGAUUUUUUCUUAGAAAUGCAAUACGCAAAUGAUGGGUGUUACGAAGAUCGUGGUGCAUUCGUGAUCGUUGAUUUUCACUUUGAAGAUACACUACAGACAGCAAUCGUGCCUGAUUUCUGGCUAGUUAUUGAAGAAGGUCAACUGUUUUGUAGUUACCCCCCUGGUAACAAAACAACAAUAACCCCAAUUAAAAUGAGGCAUGUCCAACACGAUACUUGGGUGACAUAUCCAGCUACUUGGAGAAGGGAUUACGAAUCCUACUCCAAAGCACGGAAAGAUUUGCCAAAUGCUGUUCAGUAUACUGACUUUGCAGAAAGUGAUAGCGAGUCUCAACAAAGUAAAGCAGUCAGUAGAAAAGUGUUCGUAGAUCUUCAAGAUGGAAGAGGAAAAUAUCGUCAGAUGAAAGUGGAAAUGACAGUGGUCAUGAAACAUUGUUGUCAAAUAGACCCUCACCUCCUCGUUCUUUGGGUUAUGGUUUGCUGAGUCGUGACAUUGAAGAACCCCCUGAUGAUGUCAGACCAGAUGCACAGAACCUUAGUGAUGAAUAUGAUGAUCUGGAUUUGAAAUUGGAAGAAUUUGUACGGUUUGAGAACAUGUUAUUGGUUGAUGAAAGAAAACGUGCAUCAUUGGUCCGUUUUGUAAGAAACAUUGGUGGCGUAACAGAGGGAGAUAGCGUACACAGAGCUUGGAAGGAGGUCGUUUCGGUGGAAGUAAGAGUCCAAUGUAAUUGGAAUGGUGUUAGAAAGGGCACCAUUAAAAAACACAAAUUGAAUAAAUCACCAUUAGUCUUGGCUGUGUGGAAUGGACUUAGACAAAAUCCAACUUGCAGCAAAUCCACCGAUGCUGCCUUGCAGUUUGAGACAGUAAAAUCGUUUGUAAGCGGCCAGGAGAAUCGCAGCAAGAAAAAUCUUACUUCCUGAGCUAGAGGCAGAUCAUAAUGAUGAACACAAUGCGGAAGAAAAUAGAUAAAAUGAUUAACACGUUUUCCUUAAUGUUGUCAUGGACAUUUAAAAAAUACAAUGCUUGUUUCAUCAUAA